CCUACGGGAGGCAGCAGUGGGGAAUAUUGGACAAUGGGGGCAACCCUGAUCCAGCCAUGCCGCGUGUGUGAAGAAGGCCCUCGGGUUGUAAAGCACUUUCAGUGAGGAAGAACGCCUGGUAGUUAAUACCCAUCAGGAAAGACAUCACUCACAGAAGAAGCACCGGCUAACUCCGUGCCAGCAGCCGCGGUAAUACGGAGGGUGCGAGCGUUAAUCGGAAUUACUGGGCGUAAAGCGCGCGUAGGUGGCUUGAUAAGCCGGUUGUGAAAGCCCCGGGCUCAACCUGGGAACGGCAUCCGGAACUGUCAAGCUAGAGUGCAGGAGAGGAAGGUAGAAUUCCCGGUGUAGCGGUGAAAUGCGUAGAGAUCGGGAGGAAUACCAGUGGCGAAGGCGGCCUUCUGGACUGACACUGACACUGAGGUGCGAAAGCGUGGGUAGCAAACAGGAUUAGAUACCCUUGUAGUC
rnacentral:rRNA from 1 species